GUGGUCAGGGAAGGCCUCUCUGGGGAGGGGAGGUUAGAGCUGAGAUGCAGGGAGAAGAAUGAAUCCCAUGUACAAAGAGCUGGGAGAAAGGCAUUCCAGGGCAAGAAAUACUUGGAGAUUACUCGUCAAGCCUGUGUGCUCUCAUCAGCUCCUUCCCCUCCCAACCUGACCAGGAGUGCCUUUUAUAGUCCUCUGGAAGAAUUGGCUAAGAAGACAGCUGCUUCCUCAAGGGAGGAUGCCACCGCUUCUGUGAGUCAGUCAAUCAGUCUAGAUAUUGUCCUGGCCCAAAUUUUCUGCUGGACCACACAGGAAGCAAGUAGUAGGGGUUGCAACUCACCUCCUGCUUUCUCUGAAUCCUUUGCAUAUCAAACACCUGCUGGUAUUCCUAGAAACCACCUAUUUAAUAGGCAAGCAAAGCACAAUUGUCAGCUUGAUUAAAGUGCCUAAUGGAAAUAAUCAUAGUGCUUGUAGUGCUUGAUAUCUGCAUGGAAC
rnacentral:lncRNA from 1 species